rnacentral:rRNA from 1 species
AGCGAAAUGCGAUACUUGGUGUGAAUUGCAGAAUCCCGUGACCAUCGAGUCUUUGAACGCAAGUUGCGCCCGAAGCCAUCAGGCCGAGGGCACGCCUGCCUGGGUGUCACCAAUCGUCGCCCCARCAACCCCGCUGCCUCCCGGCACCGGGCGGGGCGGAUGCUGGCCUCCCGCGAGCGAGCGCCUCGCGGUUGGUYGAAAGCCGGGUUCGUGGCGGAGCGCAUCGCCAUGACGGAWGGUGGUUGAGCGCGUUCUCGAGGCCAGUCAUGCGCGUCCCGCUGCGCCGGYUACGGACCCCGCGACCCGUGGGCGGCACCGAUCGCYCGUGAUGCGACCUCAGGUCAGGCGG